rnacentral:rRNA from 1 species
GACGAACGCUGGCGGCGUGCUUAACACAUGCAAGUCGAACGGAAAGGCCCUGCUUUUGUGGGGUGCUCGAGUGGCGAACGGGUGAGUAACACGUGAGUAACCUGCCCUUGACUUUGGGAUAACUUCAGGAAACUGGGGCUAAUACCGGAUAGGAGCUCCUGCUGCAUGGUGGGGGUUGGAAAGUUUCGGCGGUUGGGGAUGGACUCGCGGCUUAUCAGCUUGUUGGUGGGGUAGUGGCUUACCAAGGCUUUGACGGGUAGCCGGCCUGAGAGGGUGACCGGCCACAUUAGGACUGAGAUACGGCCCAGACUCCUACGGGAGGCAGCAGUGGGGAAUAUUGCACAAUGGGCGGAAGCCUGAUGCAGCAACGCCGCGUGCGGGAUGACGGCCUUCGGGUUGUAAACCGCUUUCGCCUGUGACGAAGCGUGAGUGACGGUAAUGGGUAAAGAAGCACCGGCUAACUACGUGC